GUAAAAACAAAGGUCUUUGCAAGAGAGACACUGAGCAAAACAUGAUGGAUAUCUCGGCCACGCACAUAAUUGCUUCCAGGUGGCUAGCCGCUUUAUUACUCUGGGGGCCAUGCUGCCACCCUGACAAUGAAAAAUUCGGCAUCACAAUUAUUCCUUGAGGCCAUGUAUAAAGACGUGAAAACCAAGUCAAACAAGAAUAAACAAAAGCCAUGUGUACGCCAGGGAGCUGUUGGAGACGCGAUUCCGAGAUCCUGUCUUCAGAAGUCUUUUUAAAUACAACUAGAAAGUGACCCAGAUACCAUCAUUCCCAAACUCUGGGACUGUUUUGAUUAAUCAGCGAGAAAUGCUUGCUCUAACUGGUCUUUGUUUCCAUAAGGAUACUUUGUGUUAACAAGGGGUAGUCCAGUGGUGACUUGAUUUCUGUACUUUUCUUUUUCCUUUCUUUCCUCUCCUGCCUUGUGCCAGGACCCUCCUCUUCCCUUUGGUACUUCUUCAGUCAGCAAAAGUCUUUCAGAACACUCCCUGAGCUGGAGACCUACAGCUCGAAGAGGCCAGCAAGAAUUUCUUUCUUAUUUGGUCAUUGUUUGUUCCCUGCGGGGGACAGGAAGGGAAAGACAAUUUCAU
rnacentral:lncRNA from 1 species